CAGUAUUUGUCUUUUAUUGCCUGAAUUAUUUCACUUAGCAUAAUGCUCUCAAGAUAGAAUUAUAUAUUUGGACAUAUCAAUGACAAAUUGCCUUCCAAAAAUUUACAUGACCAUCAGCCAUGUAUAAGAGAACCAGCAACCACUUCAGAGGGAAAUUCUAAGCAAGGAGGACAGAGGAGCAGAAGUCUCAUUCAUCCAAGGACCAGAGCUGAUGGACCCAUCUCCAGCUGCAAUGUUGGAUGCUAAUAGUUCACAAAUGCCCUUAUCUUUGGAGUCUUGUCCUUGGCCAAAUGGGAGCUGCCUGGACCAAAAGGUUACACACCUCCAAGUGGGAACAGCUCACCACUCAUGUCUGAAUUACAUGGGAUUACAGCCAACCCUUUGCAACAAGAAAUGUAAUUACCUUGUGGCCACUACUUUCCCACAGUCCUAGCUGAAAACUUUUGUUCUCUGAGUGCGAUUAGAAGCAUCUUCAGGAUUGAAUACUCCUUUCUGCCUCCUCCAUCUUUUGGCAUAGGAGAUUAUCCUCUCACUCUAAGGUCUCCAACAAUGCAUCUCUCCAUGCUAAGUAUUGCUGGCAAACCCCAGAAGCUAGAAGAGUUAAGGAAAGAUUCUCCCCUAGAACUCCUGGAGAGAGCACAGCCCUGCUGACCCUUAAUUUUGAACUUGCAGACUCC